rnacentral:rRNA from 1 species
GACGAACGCUGGCGGCGUGCUUAACACAUGCAAGUCGAACGGAAAGGCCCUGCUUUUGUGGGGUGCUCGAGUGGCGAACGGGUGAGUAACACGUGAGUAACCUGCCCUUGACUUUGGGAUAACUUCAGGAAACUGGGGCUCAUACCGGAUAGGAGCUCCUGCUGCAUGGUGGGGGUUGGAAAGUUUCGGCGGUUGGGGAUGGACUCGCGGGUUAUCAGCUUGUUGGUGGGGUAGUGGCUUACCAAGGCUUUGACGGGUAGCCGGCCUGAGAGGGUGACCGGCCACAUUGGGACUGAGAGACGGCCCAGACUCCUACGGGAGGCAGCAGUGGGGAAUAUUGCACAGUGGGCGGAAGCCUGAUGCAGCAACGCCGCGUGCGGGAUGACGGCCUUCGGGUGGUAAACCGCUGUCGCCGGUGACGAAGCGUGAGUGACGGUAAUGGGUAAAGAAGCACCGGCUAACUACGUG